GUGGGUGCGAGCUGGCGCUGGAAUGGGAGCCAAGAGCGAGUGAGCGGGGAGGGGGCGCGGGAGACACCCAGGUGUCGCAUGGCGGGGUCCACGCGGUGACCUGCCUGGGAGCACAGAUUGCACGAGUCUGCGCUAGGGCACCCCAGUCAGUCCCCGGUUCCCCACGCACACCCGGGGAAGGCCCGCCCUGCCCGCUGAGCGCUGUUUUCUCCAGGUCCCGGGCCGAUGUCCCAGGUGAGCGGUCAGUGCCCUGCUCUGUGCGACGCGCCCCAUGGAGUCCCCAGCGCUACCCCGGACCCAGCCCAGACCAUAUCCCUUCUCCCUGGGCUGGAGGUAGCAGCAGGAUCCACUCACCCUGCAGACGCAUCAUCAGAAGAGGGCUCCCCAGAGGAGGUGGUACCCUCCAUGCCCCAAGACAGUGGUCCUGGGGCUCACCGGGCUCUGAACAGCACUGACCUCGAUGUUCACACAGAAGCUGUGACGUGCCAGCCUCAGGGGAACCCCUUAGGCUGCACCCCAUUACUGCCAAACGGCUCCGACCAUAGCCACCCCUCAGAACUGGGCAGUGCCGGGCAUGCGGGGAACGGUGCCCCGGGAGGCCCCAAAGCCCACCGGAAGUUGCAGACACACCCAUCUCUGGGCAGCCAGACCGGGAGGAAGAGCAAAGGCAGCACUCGGUCAACUUCCCAGGUCCCCCUCCAGGCACAAGAAGACUGCUGCGUCCACUGCAUCCUGUCCUGUCUGUUCUGUGAGUUCCUGACACUCUGCAACAUUGUCCUGGACUGCGCCACCUGCGGUUCCUGCAGCUCCGAGGACUCCUGCCUCUGCUGCUGCUGCUGCGGCUCAGGCGAGUGCGCCGACUGCGACCUGCCCUGCGACCUGGACUGUGGCAUUGUGGACGCCUGCUGCGAGUCGGCAGACUGCCUGGAGAUCUGCAUGGAGUGCUGUGGACUCUGCUUCUCCUCCUGAUGCCACAGAACAGCCUUAGAGCUGCCACACGAAGCUUGACACCUCCCCUGACCCCAGGGCCCCCUCAGAAUCCCAGCCCAGAUGUGAGAAAGUGGGAAGGCCAGAGGAGCCAUCUCAGCCGCGGAACAGGUCCGUUACCCACAAGCCUGCUCUCCUCGGUGGGUGACCUGGAACGUGGCCUCUAGAACCGGGUGUCAGCCUCCCUCGGCUACCCCAGCUCAGAAGACAGAAAAUGUGAAAAGACACCUGCCCGGCCCAUUGUCAGCCCCUAC